GUGCCAGCCGCCGCGGUAAUACGAAGGGGGCUAGCGUUGUUCGGAUUUACUGGGCGUAAAGCGCGUGUAGGCGGGUCGUUAAGUUGGGGGUGAAAUCCCGAGGCUCAACCUCGGAACUGCCUUCAAAACUGGCGACCUGGAGCAAGAUAGAGGCAAGUGGAAUUGCGAGUGUAGAGGUGAAAUUCGUAGAUAUUCGCAGGAACACCAGUGGCGAAGGCGACUUGCUGGAUCUUUGCUGACGCUGAGACGCGAAAGCGUGGGGAGCAAACAGGAUUAGAAACCCCCGUAGUCC
rnacentral:rRNA from 1 species